AGAGUUUGAUCCUGGCUCAGGAUGAACGCUAGCGGCAGGCUUAAUACAUGCAAGUCGUGGGGCAGCAUGACUGUAGCAAUACAGUUGAUGGCGACCGGCAAACGGGUGCGGAACACGUACACAACCUUCCUUUUAGUGGAGAAUAGCCCAGGGAAACUUGGAUUAAUACUCCGUAACAUAUAGAAGUGGCAUCACUUUUAUAUUAUAGCAGCAAUGCGCUAGAAGAUGGGUGUGCGGCUGAUUAGAUAGUUGGCGGGGUAACGGCCCACCAAGUCGACGAUCAGUAACUGGUGUGAGAGCACGACCAGUCACACGGGCACUGAGACACGGGCCCGACUCCUACGGGAGGCAGCAGUAAGGAAUAUUGGUCAAUGGACGCAAGUCUGAACCAGCCAUGCCGCGUGGAGGAUGAAGGUCCUCUGGAUUGUAA
rnacentral:rRNA from 1 species